rnacentral:rRNA from 1 species
GAUGAACGCUGGCGGCGUGCCUAAUACAUGCAAGUCGAGCGAACGGACGAGAAGCUUGCUUCUCUGAUGUUAGCGGCGGACGGGUGAGUAACACGUGGAUAACCUACCUAUAAGACUGGGAUAACUUCGGGAAACCAGAGCUAAUACCGGAUAAUAUUUUGAACCGCAUGGUUCAAAAGUGAUAGACGGUCUUGCUGUCACUUAUAGAUGGAUCCGCGCUGCAUUAGCUAGUUGGUAAGGUAACGGCUUACCAAGGCAACGAUGCAUAGCCGACCUGAGAGGGUGAUCGGCCACACUGGAACUGAGACACGGUCCAGACUCCUACGGGAGGCAGCAGUAGGGAAUAUUCCGCAAUGGGCGAAAGCCUGACGGAGCAACGCCGCGUGAGUGAUGAAGGUCUUCGGAUCGUAAAACUCUGUUAUUAGGGAAGAACAUAUGUGUAAGUAACUGUGCACAUCUUGACGGUACCUAAUCAGAAAGCCACGGCUAACUACGUG